AGUGAACGCUGGCGGUAGGCCUAACACAUGCAAGUCGAACGGCAGCACAGUAAGAGCUUGCUCUUACGGGUGGCGAGUGGCGGACGGGUGAGGAAUACAUCGGAAUCUACUUUUUCGUGGGGGCUAACGUAGGGAAACUUACGCUAAUACCGCAUACGACCUACGGGUGAAAGCAUGGGAUCUUCGGACCUUGCGCGAUUGAAUGAGCCGAUGUCGGAUUAGCUAGUUGGCGGGGUAAAGGCCCACCAAGGCGACGAUCCGUAGCUGGUCUGAGAGGAUGAUCAGCCACACUGGAACUGAGACACGGUCCAGACUCCUACGGGAGGCAGCAGUGGGGAAUAUUGGACAAUGGGCGCAAGCCUGAUCCAGCCAUACCGCGUGUGUGAAGAAGGCCUUCGGGUUGUAAAGCCCUUUUGUUGGGAAAGAAAAGCAGCAGGUUAAUACCCCGCUGUUCUGACGGUACCAAAAGAAUAAGCACCGGCUAACUUCGUG
rnacentral:rRNA from 1 species